rnacentral:rRNA from 1 species
UUCCAGACUCCUACGGGAGGCAGCAGUGGGGAAUAUUGCACAAUGGGGGAAACCCUGAUGCAGCGACGCCGCGUGAGCGAUGAAGUAUUUCGGUAUGUAAAGCUCUAUCAGCAGGGAAGAAAAUGACGGUACCUGACUAAGAAGCCCCGGCUAACUACGUGCCAGCAGCCGCGGUAAUACGUAGGGGGCAAGCGUUAUCCGGAUUUACUGGGUGUAAAGGGAGCGUAGACGGCUGUGCAAGCCAGAUGUGAAAGCCCGGGGCUCAACCCCGGGACUGCAUUUGGAACUGUGUGGCUGGAGUGUCGGAGAGGCAGGCGGAAUUCCUAGUGUAGCGGUGAAAUGCGUAGAUAUUAGGAGGAACACCAGUGGCGAAGGCGGCCUGCUGGACGAUGACUGACGUUGAGGCUCGAAAGCGUGGGGAGCAAACAGGAUUAGAUACCCUCGUA